UGUCAUACACUCUCAAAUGUAUUGAGCAAUUAUCGUCAAUUUAUUUUGAAUUGUGUGUAACAUGCAAUUGACAACGGUCUGAAAAAUUGCAGAAAAAAAAAUACAGAAAACCAAUCGACUAAAUUGACUAAAGUACAUUUUCAAAUUGUGCAAGAAUACUUAAAAUAAUUAAUUUUAGAAAUGUUAUGUAUAUAACAUAAAAGCAAUCUUGAGUAAUUCAGUUUAUUUAAUAGUGUGCAAUUUUAAAUAAAUUUAAUGUCACAUUUUGCUGUAGUCAGAGUUUAGUCCCGACUCAAAGUCUUUCACAAAAAUAUAUCUAAUGGCCAAUGAAUGAGUGGAGAGUGGAGACCUGCAGCCAUCUGAUGAUGUUUUAAUAUGAACAAACCAUAUGCUGUGUGUGCACAUGUUUCCAUGUUAGCUUUGGCUGCAAUACAACAACACUGCGAAACAAUCUGCAAAAUUACAGUAAGUGAGCACCGCGAAAGCGAAACAUAAAAAACGACGCUUGAAACAAUCAAACCGUAAUUAUUGUUAAUGAUACUAUCAUUACAAAAUGAUUGUAUACGCCUGCCGGACACUUUACAUGUGACUUUUGAUAUGUCGUAUAUUCACGAUUACGUAUAUAUGGCUGUGUGCCAAGCACCCCUAUAUCCACAAACAGCCAUCGCUACUCGACAAAUAAAUAAUAUGGUUGGGAACGAAAUGAAAUAUGAGCCAAAGGCAACCGAAUAGCUACUGCCACAGCAAGAGCAGUAAGAAAUAUGCAUGUAAACAAAUAAAUAAAUGAAAAUUCACAAAGUAAUCAUUUCAAUAAAAUGUCACAGACGACAACAUAAAGUCAAUAAUUUAUUACUUUAGUGCUUACUAAUACUAUGUGAAGGAUCAAGAGAAUGACCUCCUAACAAUGGCGGCUGAAUAAGUUUUUGAAAAAGGAUCAAAUUGAGUUACAAAUCACUUAAAUUCAUGGCUGGAUUCUUGAAAAAUUAACUAGAACGACGUUUUAUCUAAUGAUUUCUUUGUAUUUGAAUGGCUGUCUUUAAAAGUGAUGUAUGUAGCUAGGUCAAGACAAAAAGAUGAUUACGUCUUGUGCAUGCUACUGCAAAUAUAACACGAAAGAGUGCAAAAAGAGAGUUAUCUUCUAUGUAAUCAAUGCGAGGUUCUUUAACUAGUGCUCUUGCUUUGAAGAUUUACUAAAUUAAAAAGCGGUAACAGAUCUUGGUUUUGUUGGCAGCCUUUCUCACUUUUAAAAUAUACAUAAAUAUAUAUGUAAGUAGCAAAUGCAACAUUGGAGACUUGCCGCAGUGAUAGCUAUAAGUAAAAGAAUACUGUCUCUCUCUAAUGUUGAUUGAUCAAUUAACUAAUCCUGAGCUAAUUUUAAUCCAUGAAUUUUAUUUCCUUAAUUCUUAUUUAAUUUUCAAAUUAUUGAGCUCUUCAGAACAUCCGUCUUAUACUAAUCUUUGCCGAACUUGGAAUUUUGGGGUGCAAGGCUUUACAAAACAUAUUAGCGAAUCGGCAAAGUGAAUAAGACCAUGGAACCAUUAGCAGUACGAGAUGAUGUGAACAUAUAUAUAUUUAAUUGUCGCUUUGUAACCGCUACAGCGUUUUUCGG